UUUGAGAUCUUGAUGGACGAUGUCAUUUAGGUGGAGGUGCAUCAACCCUUCACACAUACCACUAACGAUAGUGGCUCUAAUUGAUGGAGUCAACUGAAAAAGGAGGAAGAUCUUUCCGAUCGAUGAGAUGUUGGGGGACUUUCUUCACUGCAGCCCAGGUAUCGUUGUAUUUUUGCCGGUAGACUUUCCCAAAGCAGCCUUGAGCGAGCGUUGCUGUGGACCAGGCCAUGCUGGAGGAACAGGCAAGACUGGAGAGAAUCAAGCGGACAUUUGAUUCGGACAUUUGACUCUGGAGCUGCCACAACAUUCAGCUGCAUGAAGGAUGAUGGAGACCAGAAACAGAGUCUGUGUGACUCUAAUCUAAUAGCAUCAAUGGUCUUAAUCCAACAUAUUGAUUAGAUCUGAUUUAAUCACAGAAGCCAUCCAGACCCUCAUGGAAGAGCUUCACAUAUGUUGGCUUAGUAGUUGUUAUAAUUUUUACUAUUAGAUAUUCCUAACCAAAUGUUACCUUAGGUCAAAUAAAUAUCUACAUUCCAGAUAACUUUUUCUGUAGCCUUUUAUUGAUUUAAAAUGUUUCUAUUUAUUUAACUUUAUUGUCUAGAUGCAUUUACUGUAAUGUCAGCUGUUUGAGAAAGUUAUUUAUUUCAUUCAU